rnacentral:rRNA from 1 species
GAUCAUGGCUCAGGAUGAACGCUAGCUACAGGCUUAACACAUGCAAGUCGAGGGGCAGCGGGAUUGAAGCUUGCUUCAAUUGCCGGCGACCGGCGCACGGGUGAGUAACGCGUAUCCAACCUUCCGUACACUCAGGGAUAGCCUUUCGAAAGAAAGAUUAAUACCUGAUGGUAUGAUGAGAUUGCAUGAUAACAUCAAUUAAAGUAUUUAGUCGGGUGUACGAGUGGGAUGUCCG